AAAUGAAUAGACGGGGGCCCGCACAAGCGGUGGAGCAUGUGGUUUAAUUCGACGCAACGCGAAGAACCUUACCAGCUCUUGACAUGGGUAGUAUGGACCUGGGCGACUGGGUCCUUCAGUUCGGCUGGCUACCACACAGGUGCUGCAUGGCUGUCGUCAGCUCGUGUCGUGAGAUGUUGGGUUAAGUCCCGCAACGAGCGCAACCCUCAUCUUCAGUUGCCAUCAGGUUAAGCUGGGCACUCUGGGGAAACUGCCGGUGACAAGCCGGAGGAAGGCGGGGAUGACGUCAAGUCCUCAUGGCCUUUAUGGGCUGGGCUACACACGUGCUACAAUGGCGGUGACAGUGGGUUCUGCGCGAAGGGGCGACCCGGAGCCAAUCCCCAAAAGCCGUCUCAGUUCGGAUUGCACUCUGCAACUCGAGUGCAUGAAGCUGGAAUCGCUAGUAAUCGCGGAUCAGCACGCCGCGGUGAAUACGUUCCCGGGCCUUGUACACACCGCCCGU
rnacentral:rRNA from 1 species